UUCUAUGAAUCGCUUAAUUCUAGAUCCUAGAAGCGGGGGACCCAAUCAAGAUGUGGCUCAGCCACUAGGGGUGAAUCCAUAAUUUAUGGUAGGGUGACUCUUUCCACCCGAAUCCGACAGCUAACCUCGUCAGCGUUUAAAGAGAAGAAUG
rnacentral:sRNA from 2 species